UCUGGUUAAAAAGGCUGGACUCUUGGCUAGGCUUCUCCGUUGCAUCCUCUGGAUGCAUAGGGACUUUAUCUUUAAUACGGUUGUUAUUACCAGGAGCAAAAGGAGGACCCUCUGAUUGCACAGGAUGACUUUUUAAUUUUACAUCUCUCUCUGCGCUUUUUGGCUUAUGUGAGAUAUUAUCCCUAGGAGCAUACUCCUUGUU
rnacentral:lncRNA from 1 species